GAUGGUACAGCUCAACUGGUAAAGUGCAUGCAUAGCAUGCAUGAGGUCCUGGGUUCAACCCCCAGUACCAUCA
rnacentral:tRNA from 1 species